GGGGUGGGUGGCAGUGAGGGGGGUGGCAGCGGGGGGUGGGGGGUGGGAGUGGGGUCGUUGGCCGUGUCCUGGGCUGAGUGCAACAGCUCCUGGGGAACAUGUUAGCGCCUCCCCCGCCUCCUCCUUCCUCGCGGGCCUCUGUCCUCACGGCUUCACCAGGGGCCGCCAGGGUUGCCGAGGACGCUUGGGACACGUCAGGGCGCGGCGAGGGGCUCAGUGGUGCCCUGUAAAGCACCCCAUAUGCCAGUUCUCAUUCAUUUCCCAGUGUGUGUCGGGCGGGGGCCGACUCCCGCUCUCUCAAGUUGCAUGAGUACCGUCGCGCUGUUGCCACACCUCCACCACCCACCCGCUUUUUAACUUUCCCAGGCUCUUCCAGCCGUUGUAUUUAGGGGAGUGUGGCGUCGCAGAGGGAGCUGGGCCCGGCGGGAGGACACCUUUGAAAGGCUGUGGGACUGAGCUGUGCUUGUGGGCUGCUGGGGCCCUAAUACCUUCCUAUAGUCAUUGAUAUUGCAAGAAUGCAACGACCUAGCAAAGACGACCACCAGAUUUGUGAAUGACAAAAGUUGACGUGGGUGGCACCAGAUGGCGCGUGAGUCCGGGGGCGGCAGCCGGCACACCCGUCCGUCCCCACCCAUGCCGCCGCCUCCGCCCACACAUCCCGAAGGGGUAUGUGUUGAUAUUAGCGGGCGUGAUGGGACGUAUAGAAGCGGGGGCACCAAAAAGGAGUGAGGAAGGCGGGUGUGGGGAGGUCGGAGUGGUCGCCGUGCAUCUGGCAGCGCGGAAGGGAGGCACGGAGGGAGGAGGGACGAGGGUCGGGCUCUGGUCCCCCUCAUCGCGGCCGCCAGACCUGCAGGUGACACCGUCGCGCGUGCAUCCACGCCGCCUCUCGCUGCCCACCCCGCUCGGGGCCUCAACCCCUUCUGCAGACUAGGCCCCGGCACAGGGGCCGUGGACAGAAACCAGUGUUGUGCAGGGGAGGGGAGCCGGACGGGGCGCGGGGCGGCGAGCCGGAGGGAGGCGCUCCGACCCACGAUGGUGAUUCAGCACAGACGGAGGUGGAGCUUUAAAGGACCCGCCGGGGAGUGACCUUGGUGUGUGGCGCCCCGGCAGUCUGUUCCGCGGUGUGUGUGGGGCCCGCCGCCUCCCGGGGCUGUGGUGAUAGUGCGUGGAAUGUCUAACCCAACCCGGCCCCACGGUGGUGCAACAAGAUGUCUCCGCGCGGGGCACUCGCCGGGCACUCGUCGGACGGGCGGAGUCCCCUCACCCCAAGGGCCGCUGAGAGGCCCUUCCCGUCGGGGCUCGGCGUGCUGUCCCUCCACAUGUUUACAGUGAGGGCGGAAGUUUGGGGCGCGUGUUGGAGGUGAUGGUGGUGGUGGUGACUUUGCCGUGGAUGGUGGUGGUGAACCCGGUGGUGGUGGGAAGCAGCACAGCUGUUGGCACCCUCCCAUCUCCCUCACUCCCGGCCCACAUGACUCAUCUCACCCCCGCCCACACUCCCAGUAACAUCCACCCACUGCAGCACCCCGCCCACUCCCAGUAACGCCCGGCUCACACCAACACCCUAUCCGCAUCCCCAGCAAUUACACCACCCCAAGCAGCCACACUCCUCCUCGCAGUGACACCAAUACACCCGCCCACUGCCUGCUACACCCGCGCCCCCGCACCCCCCAGCAACACCAUCACACCCUCGCCAACACCACCACCAGCCCGUUCCUCCACAUGGAUUCACGCCUCAGCUGUUGUUGGCCGGAUGUUUAACUGAUAUCCACUUGUCCACACCCUCCAUCCACCUCCCUCCUCUGCUGGGCCUUCCAUAGCUCGCCCUCCCGUCACACACACACACACACACACAGCACAGCACAUCCCUCAUCCACUACAUACACGUCACCAGCCCUGAUAAAACCUACUGCACCCUCCUCCAUCCCCUUCCCUCCCUCCCUCCAUGCCUUCAGCCCUCCUCUGCCUCCUCUCCUUCCCCCCUCUCUUCCUCUCAUUCUACAACCACCACCAUCGCCUCCAACACACUCAUUGCACAGUUCUUCUCAUCCACUACACUCUCUUAACCCGAAAGACCUAUACCCUUCUCCCCCUCUUCCUAGUCCCCCAACACUUUCCUAGUCGCAUUCCUCUCUCUCUCUCUCUCUCUCUCUCUCUCUCUCUCUCUCUCUCUCUCUCUCUGUCCGCCCACUAUAUAGAUUCCUUCCUACUAUCACACAACACCACCGCCACCACAACACCAGACGCCCAUAUUCUACACCAGCUCUUCCAAACUUUAACCCGCCCCUCCUCUUCCUCCUCCUCCUCUUCCUUCCACUCCUCCUCCUCCACCCUUCUUCCUCCACCCACGACAUGGCCUCAAAAGUUCACCACCACCAACACACACACACACACACACACACAUAUACACACAGUCUACCCUCCCCUUCCCCCCCCCCCCACAGUGCCACCCCUGAUAACCCCCUGAUCCCCCAACCUCAUCAUGAGUCCCCUUAUGAUGAUGAUGAUGAUUCGUGACGUAACUAACCAACCCUCACCCCCCGCCCAUGAGUUACUAGGCAUGCGUACACACACACACACACACACACACACACACAGAGGGACGUGGGUAGUAGUUCCCUCAUACCCUCCCUGGCCUGUACAUUCUAUUGGUUCGUUGGUCGGUCCCUUUUCGUGUGGAGCCAUUCUCUCUCUCUCUCUCUCUCUCUCUCUCUCUCUCUCUCUCUCUCUCUCUCUCUCUCUCUGUUCACGCCCUACCCAAGUGGUCACGCCCCUGUCCCCCUUCUCCCUUGCCUUCCCCGCCCCGCCCCGCCCCGCCCCCGCCGCGCCCCUGACCCGCGGACACAUACAUGGGCAGCAAGGUCGUGUGAAGGAGGGUGUGGAGACCAGCCUCCCGCCGGCGCCAGGGGAAGGGCGUGUUGGUGCCAAGAGCCGGUGCCUUAUACUGCCAGCACCACCACCGCCGCCACUAUCACCACCACCACCACCACCUCCACCACCGUCGCCGCUUCCACUACCUCCACGACUACUGCCACCAAUACGACUACUAUUAUUUUCGUACCCAAUGUAAAUACCACCAUCAGUUUCAAUAGGAGCACCGUGUUAAAUCUGACAAGGACCUCUUUUUUUUUUUUUGUCUUCUUUAAAGAGUCGUUACAUCAUCACCUGUUCCACCAAUUCCACUUCAAUCACCAACACCACGACUGCCACUAUCACCACAACCACCUCCACUGAUUAAUUUACCACCACCUCCAUCACCACCAUCAUCUCCAUAACCUCUUCUACCGCCGCUAUCACCAGAACAUCUAUCAUCAUCCACCACAACUACCAGUCUAAACCAUUACCGCCACCACUGCUACUUCGCUAAAUCACACCACCACCAUACCGCCAAUUCCACCACCACCACUACACCGCCACAUCACUUCGAACACCAUCACCGUCAUCACACCUAGCUGUCCCUCCACCUAUGUUCCUGCAAACACCUGCCCUUUGCUACCAUUGCUAACGUAACCACCGACCUGCAGCCUCCCGAACUACCACCAUAAGUAUCAUCAUCACCAUUACUUAACUAUAAUCCAACCAUUUCAAGUAGUCCGUUUAGGGGGUGGAUUCCGCGGGUCCUCUCCUCUGCUCUGCCACACAGUCCCAACACCUAUUUUUCCCUCUCAUAAGUUGGCUAUAGCAAAUAGAAUCCCUUGAACCACCUACGUCACUGCUUCCACUAGUCCUUUUAAAUCGUAGUCAGUCAGUAAUACCACACCAAACUAACCAACGUCAUCUCUUACUAGAUUCACCAUCAUCUUAAGUACUGCCACAUCAGCUGCCACCGUUACCGCCCACCUAACUAGCGCCAUCUAUGUCCCUUUACCUCUACUACUUUUCACCCUCACCUGUAUACCUUUUCUAGUGUUUCCAUCAAGGGUUACUCAUUCAUAUAUCUCGUAGGACCAACACCUGUGCGCUACUUUCGCAACUUUUCAUACCUGACGAUUUCUUGCUCUACCUUCCUUCCAGAGAGAGAGAGAGAGAGACCCCUUCCAAUCCAUCCCGUCACACACCCUCAUCACAAAUCGACUAUAUCGCGUAACGCCACUAAUUUCCCACACCGCAAAUCACGUAACAGAUCAGGACGGCAGUAAUUAUUAAGCGUCAUUCCUCACGCACGGAAGACGAGAUGGCAGUAGCAGUAGUAGCGGCGACCGGAAGGGAAUGUUGCUGCUGCUGCGUGAGUCAUUUCGCGGUAGUGUGAUGCUGCGAGGGUGGGACGAUCACGUGACACCAACUACAUAGGGCGUGAAGCGGAAAAUAGAGGAAGGAAGAGACUCGUGGUGGGGCUAUUAGUGCCGCCGCCCCCGCUCCCCCCCGCCGCCCAUUACGCCCUUAGCAUAAUGACAAUGACAGAUGGCAGUUAUGUUCUCAUCGGCACGCCUCCCCAACCGACCGAGUAAAGAGAGGGGAGUUAUGGCUGAAAAAUGCGCGAGCCGGAUGAAAGAAAACGUAAUACAGUGCCAGAGAAAACGGGAAAUGGUUCGUCCGUCGCCGUGAAGCAAGGCAGAACGGACAGACUUGAGGAGGAAGAGGAAGAAUAAGGGGAAGGAUUCACGCGGAAGAGAGGGUGUCCACGCUAGGCAGGAAGAGGAGGAGGAUGACGUCGUUUUCAGGUGUCAUUUGGGAGCCACAGUAGUCACAAGACGCUGUUACAGAGACUCUCCUCAGCAUCCCUCUCUCUUGCCUCAGCUGAGUGCCACCAGGACGCAAGAACACUGCACCGCUCCUACACAUCCUACAGCCUAUACCCUCCACACGCGGGGCCUCGAUCGUGGGACCUCUGAACACCAU